rnacentral:rRNA from 1 species
UACGUAGGGGGCAAGCGUUGUCCGGAAUUAUUGGGCGUAAAGAACGCGUAGGCGGUCCGAUAAGUCGGCUGUGAAAGUCAGGGGCUCAACCCUUGAAAGCCGGCCGAUACUGUCGGACUAGAGUCCGGAAGAGGCAAGUGGAAUUCCCGGUGUAGCGGUGAAAUGCGCAGAUAUCGGGAGGAACACCAAUGGCGAAGGCAGCUUGCUGGGACGGUACUGACGCUGAGGCGCGAAAGCGUGGGGAGCAAACAGG